rnacentral:sRNA from 1 species
GAACGCGUUGCCGCAGGCAACGACCCGAAGGGCGAAGCGCGCAGCGCUGAGUCAUCCUUCCCCCACCACCA